UACGGAGGGUGCGAGCGUUGUCCGGAAUCACUGGGCGUAAAGGGCGCGUAGGUGGCUCGUUAAGUGGCUGGUGAAAUCCCGGGGCUCAACUCCGGGGCUGCCAGUCAUACUGGCGAGCUAGAGCACGGUAGAGGCAGAUGGAAUUCCCGGUGUAGCGGUGGAAUGCGUAGAUAUCGGAAGGAACAUCAGUGGCGAAAGCGACUUCCUGGACCAAUACUGACGCUCAUGUGCGAAAGCGUGGGGAGCAAACAGG
rnacentral:rRNA from 1 species